UAUUGCAUCGUUGGGAAAAAGAAGAUAAUCCAUGGAUUGAACAUUCAAGAUGGAAUCCGAAAUGUGUUUUUGUAUUAUUAUCAAAAGGAAAUCAGUUUGUUGAAAAUGUAGUAAAAAAAUAUGGUUCUAUCGAAUUAGGUAGCUACAGCAAUAUACAAAGUGAAGAUUGUUCAUUUAUGUACGAGUUAUUACAAUUUCAUUUUAAUUCAUU